rnacentral:rRNA from 1 species
AGAGUUUGAUCAUGGCUCAGAACGAACGCUGGCGGCAUGCCUAACACAUGCAAGUCGAACGAAGCCUUCGGGCUUAGUGGCGCACGGGUGCGUAACGCGUGGGAAUCUGCCCUUGGGUUCGGAAUAACAGUUAGAAAUGACUGCUAAUACCGAAUGAUGUCUUCGGACCAAAGAUUUAUCGCCCAAGGAUGAGCCCGCGUCGGAUUAGCUAGUUGGUGAGGUAAAGGCUCACCAAGGCGACGAUCCGUAGCUGGUCUGAGAGGAUGAUCAGCCACACUGGGACUGAGACACGGCCCAGACUCCUACGGGAGGCAGCAGUGGGGAAUAUUGGACAAUGGGCGAAAGCCUGAUCCAGCAAUGCCGCGUGAGUGAUGAAGGCCUUAGGGUUGUAAAGCUCUUUUACCCGGGAUGAUAAUGACAGUACCGGGAGAAUAAGCCCCGGCUAACUCCGUG